rnacentral:rRNA from 1 species
AUGUAUUGUGCGCUCACGCAUUCUGAUGUACCGGUGAGUAAUAAUAAGCAAAUUUGGAGGUCGGAGAUACCACUAAAAGUUAAAGUCUUCAUGUGGUAUCUUCAUAGGGGAGUUGUGCUAACCAAAGACAACCUUGCACGACGCAAUUGAGAAGGGAGUAAGAGGUGUUGUUUUUGUACUCAUGAUGAGACAAUCAGACACCUCUUUUUCCAAUGCAACUUUGUAAAUUUUACGUGGUCAAUCAUCUAA